AUACGUCAACGUUGCCUUCACAGCUCGACCUGUACCUGAAGGUAUUGAAGCUCCGAAAGACGAGAAACCAGUGAAGGGCUCGGCAGUGCGGCUGAGUGUUGCUGAUUCCACAGAAGAUUUGGAUGAACAAGAAGACGACGAUGAGUCACCAGGAUCUGUAUACUACAACAUAUCUGACUUCAACCUUCCUGAGGGCGGAGCGCCGGUCGGUGAACUGCCGAGUAUUUUAAACAAGAUCCGACACCAACCAGGUGGAUUUGAAACAGAGUACAAGAAACUGCCAAGUGGAUUCAGCUUUCCAUAUAGCGAAUCUCAGAUCUCAGACAACAGGCCGAAGAAUCGAUUCCAGGACUACUACCCAUAUGACCAAAACCGCGUGGUGUUGUCGCUGUUGCCAGGUGAUUCACAUUCCGAUUAUAUCAACGCCAGCUUCCUAGAUGUG